rnacentral:rRNA from 1 species
AUUGAACGCUGGCGGAAUGCUUUACACAUGCAAGUCGAACGGCAGCACGGACUUCGGUCUGGUGGCGAGUGGCGAACGGGUGAGUAAUGUAUCGGAACGUGCCCAGUCGUGGGGGAUAACGUAGUGAAAAUUACGCUAAUACCGCAUACGAUCUAUGGAUGAAAGCGGGGGAUCGCAAGACCUCGCGCGAUUGGAGCGGCCGACAUCAGAUUAGGUAGUUGGUGGGGUAAAGGCCCACCAAGCCAACGAUCUGUAGCUGGUCUGAGAGGACGACCAGCCAAACUGGAACUGAGACACGGUCCAGACACCUACGGGAGGCAGCAGUGGGGAAUUUUGGACAAUGGGCGAAAGCCUGAUCCAGCCAUUCCGCGUGCAGGAUGAAGGCCCUCGGGUUGUAAACUGCUUUUGUACAGAACGAAAAGGUUUCUACUAAUACUAGGAGCUCAUGACGGUACUGUAAGAAUAAGCACCGGCUAACUACGUGCCAGCAGCCGCGGUAA